rnacentral:rRNA from 1 species
CCUACGGGUGGCAGCAGUGGGGAAUAUUGGGCAAUGGGCGCAAGCCUGACCCAGCAACGCCGCGUGAAGGAAGAAGGCUUUCGGGUUGUAAACUUCUUUUCUCAGGGACGAAGCAAGUGACGGUACCUGAGGAAUAAGCCACGGCUAACUACGUGCCAGCAGCCGCGGUAAUACGGAGGUGGCAAGCGGUAACCGGAUUUUCUGGGUGUAAAGGGCGUGUAGGCGGGGACGCAAGUCAGAUGGGAAAACCACGGGCUCAACCUGUGGCCUGCAUUUGAAACUGUGGUUCUUGAGUACUGGAGAGGCAGACGGAAUUCCUAGUGUAGCGGUGAAAUGCGUAGAUAUUAGGAAGAACACCAGUGGCGAAGGCGGUAUGCUGGAGACCAACUGACGCUGAGGCGCGAAAGCGUGGGGAGCAAACAGGAUUAGAUACCCCAGUAGUC